rfam:Firmicutes bacterium CAG:272 genomic scaffold, scf36
AGAAACUGCAUAAAAGGCGUUUUGAAAUGGAUGAGUUUGCACGACAGAACAAAGUCCGAUACUGCCCGAAAUUCAAGGCGUAAAUGCAG